rnacentral:rRNA from 3 species
AGACCCGAAACCCGGUGAUCUAGCCAUGGGCAGGUUGAAGGUUGGGUAACACUAACUGGAGGACCGAACCGACUAAUGUUGAAAAAUUAGCGGAUGACCUGUGGCUGGGGGUGAAAGGCCAAUCAAACCGGGAGAUAGCUGGUUCUCCCCGAAAGCUAUUUAGGUAGCGCCUCGUGAAUUCAUCUCCGGGGGUAGAGCACUGUUUCGGCUAGGGGGCCAUCCCGGCUUACCAACCCGAUGCAAACUGCGAAUACCGGAGAAUGUUAUCACGGGAGACACACGGCGGGUGCUAACGUCCGUCGUGAAGAGGGAAACAACCCAGACCGCCAGCUAAGGUCCCAAAGUCAUGGUUAAGUGGGAAACGAUGUGGGAAGGCCCAGACAGCCAGGAUGUUGGCUUAGAAGCAGCCAUCAUUUAAAGAAAGCGUAAUAGCUCACUGGUCGAGUCGGCCUGCGCGGAAGAUGUAACGGGGCUAAACCAUGCACCGAAGCUGCGGCAGCGACACUGUGUGUUGUUGGGUAGGGGAGCGUUCUGUAAGCCUGUGAAGGUGUGUCGUGAGGCAUGCUGGAGGUAUCAGAAGUGCGAAUGCUGACAUAAGUAACGAUAAAGCGGGUGAAAAGCCCGCUCGCCGGAAGACCAAGGGUUCCUGUCCAACGUUAAUCGGGGCAGGGUGAGUCGACCCCUAAGGCGAGGCCGAAAGGCGUAGUCGAUGGGAAACGGGUUAAUAUUCCCGUACUUGGUGUUACUGCGAAGGGGGGACGGAGAAGGCUAUGUUGGCCGGGCGACGGUUGUCCCGGUUUAAGCGUGUAGGUGUGUGUUCCAGGUAAAUCCGGUUCACUUUAACACUGAGGCGUGACGACGAGGCACUACGGUGCUGAAGCAACAAAUGCCCUGCUUCCAGGAAAAGCCUCUAAGCAUCAGGUAACAUCAAAUCGUACCCCAAACCGACACAGGUGGUCAGGUAGAGAAUACCAAGGCGCUUGAGAGAACUCGGGUGAAGGAACUAGGCAAAAUGGUGCCGUAACUUCGGGAGAAGGCACGCUGACACGUAGGUGAAGUGAUUUACUCAUGGAGCUGAAGUCAGUCGAAGAUACCAGCUGGCUGCAACUGUUUAUUAAAAACACAGCACUGUGCAAACACGAAAGUGGACGUAUACGGUGUGACGCCUGCCCGGUGCCGGAAGGUUAAUUGAUGGGGUCAGCGCAAGCGAAGCUCCUGAUCGAAGCCCCGGUAAACGGCGGCCGUAACUAUAACGGUCCUAAGGUAGCGAAAUUCCUUGUCGGGUAAGUUCCGACCUGCACGAAUGGCGUAAUGAUGGCCAGGCUGUCUCCACCCGAGACUCAGUGAAAUUGAACUCGCUGUGAAGAUGCAGUGUACCCGCGGCAAGACGGAAAGACCCCGUGAACCUUUACUAUAGCUUGACACUGAACAUUGAGCCUUGAUGUGUAGGAUAGGUGGGAGGCUUUGAAGCGUGGACGCCAGUCUGCGUGGAGCCGACCUUGAAAUACCACCCUUUAAUGUUUGAUGUUCUAACGUGGACCCGUGAUCCGGGUUGCGGACAGUGUCUGGUGGGUAGUUUGACUGGGGCGGUCUCCUCCUAAAGAGUAACGGAGGAGCACGAAGGUUGGCUAAUCCUGGUCGGACAUCAGGAGGUUAGUGCAAUGGCAUAAGCCAGCUUGACUGCGAGCGUGACGGCGCGAGCAGGUGCGAAAGCAGGUCAUAGUGAUCCGGUGGUUCUGAAUGGAAGGGCCAUCGCUCAACGGAUAAAAGGUACUCCGGGGAUAACAGGCUGAUACCGCCCAAGAGUUCAUAUCGACGGCGGUGUUUGGCACCUCGAUGUCGGCUCAUCACAUCCUGGGGCUGAAGUAGGUCCCAAGGGUAUGGCUGUUCGCCAUUUAAAGUGGUACGCGAGCUGGGUUUAGAACGUCGUGAGACAGUUCGGUCCCUAUCUGCCGUGGGCGCUGGAGAACUGAGGGGGGCUGCUCCUAGUACGAGAGGACCGGAGUGGACGCAUCACUGGUGUUCGGGUUGUCAUGCC